AGGUAUUUAACGUCCUUGGUUUUAGUGAAUUUUUUUUAAUAGCUGCUCGUUUUUAGCGGCUGGUUUUUUGGUUUAUGUAAAGUUUGAGCCACCUGACGCCAUGUUCCGCCGGGGUUUUCCGGCCUUACCCCAAUUCUCUCCGUCAAGGCUCUUCUGUCCAGUAACCCCGGGCGUUGGAUUUUCUUGUCUUUCCAGGAAACCUCAGACAUGCAGCGAGGGAUACCCUACUGUUCUACACUGGACACCGGUGCCGGCAUAUAUGCCCUGUCUGCGCUAAACUGCCCGCACCUGCCAACGACGCAGGGUUCCGAACAGUGGAGACCAUCUCAGUGCACGGAGAAGGUUUCACUCUACAUGGCGACAAACACAACGGUUACUCAAGAAUACAAUUAAGAAGUGGAACAAAAUACCAGGUAAACUUCGCCAUGUCCACCCUGAGAUGCAGACUACAACAGGAAUUCACUGGCUAGCAUGAAACCUAGUCGUGGAAGGCUUGGGGUGUGCAUUCAUGUUUUGCAGCCAAGAAAAUUGAAAAACAAGCAUGGAAUGCAACAGCAUCAUGGAAGCAAAGAAAAUAAAAACUAAAAAAGCAAGACUGACACAAA